GGAAUCUACAUUCAGCACUGGUGGUAGGCACGUGAGUUCACAUCGAUCGAGACUUCAUCCUUCUACAUUAGAAGCAUUAGUAUGUACACAAAAUUGGUUGAAGACUGACAAAAAAGCAACAGUGAAUGAUGAAGAUAAUGAUGUUGAUCCAACAAUGGUAAUUAGUUAAGUUUUUGUAAUUUAUCAAAUAAAUUAUUUAUUUUUAUUAUUAAUACUUUUUUCUGUUUUUAUUUUUUUGCAGGAGCCUUACGUAGUUGAUCUUGAUGAUUAGAAAGUACAUUGUUCUUUUUAGUAUAUGAGUGAGGACAUGGAUGAGAACAAAUUGUAGUGUUUAGUACUUAUGGUUGCUAGUUAUUAUAUUUGAGUUUAUGGUUGAUAGUUAUUAUUGAUGUAUUAAACAUUGUUAGUAACAAAAGUACAAUCUCAAGCUUUCCUC